rnacentral:snRNA from 1 species
GACCUUGCGCAGUGGCAAUAUCGUAACCAAUGAAGGCCUCCCGAGGUGCGAUUAUUGCUAGUUGAAUAGGUUGUUCUAAAACUCAAGCUCAAUUCAUCUUAGUUUGAAUCCAUUCUUAAAUAUAAACUUGUUCAAACAA